AAACUCUGGACAAUUUUCUAUAUUUCUGUAACAUUGUGUAUCCAAAGGUCUUCUGAUCCAUUUAUUUUACAUUAGUCACAAGACCCUCCUUUGUGGGGGCACCCGCCUGCGUUUUGGAAUGCCUGACGAAACAGCGUCUGACAGAAAAUAACUUGUAGGCUCCAAAAAUAGCCCGACCGUCUGAGUUUUAUUAGCCAUUCUGGGUGGAUUGCAUGAUGUUCGUGACCAUGGCGAUAAUUAAAGACUCGUGCUGAAGCACACAGGCAGGGACAAAGUCCAGGAAGUGAAGGCAGGACUAGUAUUCUUUGGCAGGACUUUGCUCACUCCUGUCCUAUCAGACUGCAGCAUGGCAACAGAGAGGAGGGGGUUACAGAGCAGCCUGCAGUGAUUGGAUGAAGAGGUUCAGGACGAAGAUGAGUCAUGCAAAGUGAGGAUACACCCCCUACAGAGCACAGAAUGAUAAACCAAGUAAACAAAAGAUAGAAGAAAGGCCUCACAUUCAUUCCUGCUGCAGGAUAAACAGCCGUCCGGGGCAGCGCCGAGCUGUGGUCUGGGCUCUAUAUUGGCCCAAGGCCACACAGAACUUCGGAAUCUAUCUCAAUAGACAAACGUUGAUCUGGACUUUUCAAUUAUAUCAAUUAAACCUCACAUUCUGAAAUCUGUGAAAA